AGUGAACGCUGGCGGUAGGCCUAACACAUGCAAGUCGAACGGCAGCACAGUAAGAGCUUGCUCUUACGGGUGGCGAGUGGCGGACGGGUGAGGAAUACAUCGGAAUCUACUUUUUCGUGGGGGAUAACGUAGGGAAACUUACGCUAAUACCGCAUACGACCUACGGGUGAAAGCAGGGGAUCUUCGGACCUUGCGCGAUUGAAUGAGCCGAUGUCGGAUUAGCUAGUUGGCGGGGUAAAGGCCCACCAAGGCGACGAUCCGUAGCUGGUCUGAGAGGAUGAUUAGCCACACUGGAACUGAGACACGGUCCAGACUCCUACGGGAGGCAGCAGUGGGGAAUAUUGUACAAUGGGCGCAAGCCUGAUCCAGCCAUACCGCGUGGGUGAAGAAGGCCUUCGGGUUGUAAAGCCCUUUUGUUGGGAAAGAAAAGCAGCAGGUUAAUACCCCGCUGUUCUGACGGUACCCAAAGAAUAAGCACCGGCUAACUUCGUG
rnacentral:rRNA from 1 species